GAUGAACGCUGGCGGCGUGCCUAACACAUGCAAGUCGAGCGAUCUUCUUCGGAAGAGAGCGGCGGACGGGUGAGUAACGCGUGGGUAACCUGCCUCAUACACAUGGAUAACAUACCGAAAGGUAUGCUAAUACAAGAUGAUAUAAGAGAUUCGCAUGGAUUUCUUAUCAAAGCCCCGGCGGUAUGAGAUGGACCCGCGUCUGAUUAGCUAGUUGGUAAGGUAAUGGCUUACCAAGGCGACGAUCAGUAGCCGACCUGAGAGGUGAUCGGCCACAUUGGAACUGAGACACGGUCCAAACUCCUACGGGAGGCAGCAGUGGGGAAUAUUGCACAAUGGGCAAAGCCUGAUGCAGCAACGCCGCGUGAGCGAUGAAGGCCUU
rnacentral:rRNA from 1 species